GACAGCAGUAGCCACGGUAACACGGAGGGUGCAAGCGUUAAUCGGAAUUACUGGGCGUAAAGCGCACGCAGGCGGUCUGACAAGUCAGAUGUGAAAUCCCCGGGCUUAACCUGGGAACUGCAUUUGAAACUGUCAGGCUGGAGUCUUGUAGAGGGGGGUGGAAUUCCAGGUGUAGCGGUGAAAUGCGUAGAGAUCUGGAGGAAUACCGGUGGCGAAGGCGGCCCCCUGGACAAAGACUGACGCUCAGGUGCGAAAGCGUGGGGAGCAAACAGGAUUAGAUACCCGUGUAGUCCCUGUCUCUUAUAC
rnacentral:rRNA from 1 species